AGACUGCUAAGCUGAUAGGGUAACCCUGCCUCCUGAAAACAGGCAUCUCAUCUCUGCAGGAUGUGGGAAGGAGGAGGUGGGGACAUCAGCACUUCAUCUGUGUGCAGAGCACUGGGGUUGGUGCUGUGGGGCGACCACAAGAGGCUGUAGGUGCCCCUGUUUGCCCCAAAGCUGGCCAGCCCAACUCAGGACUGCAGGGACCAUGUGAAUGGUGCUCCAGUGACACAUCUCGAGUUGCUUCCUGUCCCGGCCAGGGCCCAGCCGCCAUGACACACACGCCAGUGGAGGAAUCCCUCUUCCAAAUCAUCCGCUGCUACUGUCAGUACGCGGCCCGGGAGGGGGAUGUGGAGACCCUGUCCCUGGAGGAGUUGAAGGCUCUGCUUCUGGACAAUGUACCCUGCUUCAUGGAGAGCCUGGUGUGUGGGGUCUGGGGUCAGGUGGGGGUGAAGUAUAGGGUGGGUUGUGGGGUUGGAAGCGAGUGGUGAGGGUGUAGGUAUGGGGAGCUAUCUCCCAAGAGAAUUCCUACUUAAGUGAGGAGGGGAGAGGGAGUUGGGACAGGAGGGUCUGUGGCAGAGGGAGGGUGGAUCUGGCCCAGCUUUAUUUCUCCUCCUUUCCUCUCCUGAAACUCCCUGCCGGGCCCCACUGCAGCCCCAGUGUAGCUCAUCCCUGAGACUUAGUCCUGACUCCAACCUGUUUAUUCCUCUGCUCAUCCUGUUUCCUGAGAGAAUAGGUCCUAAGUCUUCCCUCUAUGCUCAGCCCAGUUCAGUCAGCGAUCCUGCCCCAAGCCUACCCUUUUAGCCCCAGGCCCCCUCUCCUGGGACCAGUACAAACCUUCCUGUCACCGUGCCUGGGUGAGAACAGUUUGGGCAGAAGUCAGGUGGGUAGGACAGGCAGUGUCCCCUUCUAGCUGCCGCCUGAAGGGCUAAGAGAGGUUCUUGGACCAGUUUGGGAGCUCAGAAACCGCCUCAGGCCUGCACAUCUUCUCCAUUAUCAGGCCCUAUAAUUACCAGGCACCUUGGGGACUGCAAGGCUGGCAGAAAUGUCUGGGGUGCUGCCCUCUGCCCUCAGUGCUAUGCCUGAGGGGGUCUCUGGACCAUGACCUCCAGAGGGCUUCAGGUCCGUGCCCUGACUGGAGGUCACCCCCUUCCAGGAGCACCUCCUCCUUCACCUGGCCUGUUCCCUUACCUACCUUCGGGAAACAUCAGAGGAGAGCUUUGUCCUUAGCUUACUGGAGUGUCGUCUUGAGGGUGACAGAGGGGACCAGGGUGACUUUCUUUUCAAGGUCAAUCACCUGUAGCGUGGGGCUAGGCAAGGA
rnacentral:lncRNA from 1 species